GAUAGAUGGGUCUCUAAUCUACUAUGUAGAGACACAGGAUGAUGAGUGUGGGUGGUUGUUAGAGAAUAACUAGCAUUGAGUGUGACCAUAUGAGAGAUCACAUGAAUUUCUAUUCAAUCAUCAGUGAUUGUCUCGAUGCUAUAGUUGUGUGACUGAUCUUUUGACUUGAGAUGGUCCACUGUAGGAGUAGGGUGUGCAUCAAGAUAGGAUCUAUCAACUUU
rnacentral:lncRNA from 1 species